rnacentral:lncRNA from 1 species
UAGCCGCAUAAGUAUUCGGUCUCUACGAGCAUCUACACGAAUUCUGAUCUGAUCAGAGACUUCUUGUUCUUCCCAGGAUGCUAACUUUUUUUGUAGAGAAUACUUUCUUGAUGGUUGAUCUGGAUCUCCUUUAAUCUUCAAAAUGAUCUCAAGAAAAAAAAAAAACUGGAGGAAGAAAAAGACUAGGAGGGAGAACCCUUUUCUCUUCUCUCUUCUACACCCCAAUGCCCACAAGAGCCCCACGUCCCAAUGGAAUUUCUCACGCCCCUUCCUUCUGAUUUUUUAUGGUAAAACUCAGAUUCCCCUCCUCUCACAUGCCUCAUAAACCUUUUAAUAGGCGU